GAUGAACGCUGGCGGCGUGCCUAAUACAUGCAAGUCGAGCGAACAGAUGAGGAGCUUGCUCCUCUGACGUUAGCGGCGGACGGGUGAGUAACACGUGGAUAACCUACCUAUAAGACUGGGAUAACUUCGGGAAACCGGAGCUAAUACCGGAUAAUAUAUUGAACCGCAUGGUUCAAUAGUGAAAGACGGUUUUGCUGUCACUUAUAGAUGGAUCCGCGCCGCAUUAGCUAGUUGGUAAGGUAACGGCUUACCAAGGCAACGAUGCGUAGCCGACCUGAGAGGGGGGUCGGCCACACUGGAACGGAGACACGGUCCAGACGCCUACGGGAGGCAGCAGUAGGGAAUCGUCCGCAAUGGGCGAAAGCCUGACGGAGCAACGCCGCGUGAGUGAUGAAGGUCUUCGGAUCGUAAAACUCUGUUAUUAGGGAAGAACAAAUGUGUAAGUAACUAUGCACGUCUUGACGGUACCUAAUCAGAAAGCCACGGCUAACUACGUG
rnacentral:rRNA from 1 species